rnacentral:rRNA from 1 species
AAAGCGUGCGCAGGCGGUUAUAUAAGACAGAUGUGAAAUCCCCGGGCUCAACCUGGGAACUGCAUUUGUGACUGUAUAGCUAGAGUACGGUAGAGGGGGAUGGAAUUCCGCGUGUAGCAGUGAAAUGCGUAGAUAUACGGAGGAACACCGAUGGCGAAGGCAAUCCCCUGGACCUGUACUGACGCUCAUGCACGAAAGCGUGGGGAGCAAACAGGAUUAGAUACCCCGGU